ACUUCUGUACCAUCCACAUCUGUACCAUUAGGUCCUUUUGAAGAAAAUGGAAAGUCAUCUGAAAACGACAAUUCUGAUACGUACCACGUAUACAGCUCAAUCCCCGACAGACCAGCAACCUCAGCCCAGCCUGAUGGGUUUUACAGUCUUCUACAGUGAAACUACACCACUGGCUCUCUGUAUGUCUCACAGAAAUAUUGUUUCUUUCAGGAUGUCCUUUAUUUAUCACACAUCAUGUUACUGUAAAUAAGUAUCUAAAACAUCUACUGCAGUGCCGUUUCUAUUUAUAAGUAACAUUCAGUAAGCUGCCGCUAGAGGCCCCUCCCCCCUCCAAAAACAACCGUAGGAUAGUAGAAUACACAACGUGCAGUUUCGAAAUGUGUUUCUACAUCAGAAGUUUUUCUCUUGUUAUUUCAGUCACUGACAGUCACUCAAUUAUCCCAUGUCAGCUAAGAUUUUAUAGAUUGCUAGGCAAGUAAUCUAGCCAGCUAUCUAAGUAUUGUAGUAAUGGUCCAAUUACUGCCCAGGAGCCCUGACUUCCACGGGGCCCCCAAUAAUUUUGUUAGUCACUCUCACUCAGAUAUCAAAUGAACAUGGCAUAAGUCAUGGCAAAAUGUUUAGAAUUGCAGGAAAUUAGCUUUAAACUGAAUUUUAUUAUUUCAACGACAAUGGCACAACGUGUUGAAUUUCAGGAAAUGUGCUUAAUAACUGCAAAGUUCUCUCCGCCCCGUGGCAAAACGAGUAGAAUUGCAGGACAAAAACUUUAAAGCUCCAAAUGUUUCUCUCCGCCACUAAAAUGUUUUGUCGGUGAGGUGGGCAAAUCUCGCUUAGGGCCCUCAAAAUGCUUGGAACUGCCGUAAUUUCCUGUAUCACACAUUGACACCAGGCCUAGAUUUUGGAGGGGUCCGGGACAUACUCCCCUUUAAAUAUUUUUAAGUAAAUGCCCAAGUAAAUAUAUACUGUAUUUAUAUAUAUUCUGUCAUCUGUGUGAUGUCUCCUUCCAUAACGGUUUGAUACAGUUUACUAAAUAAAAUAUAUUUGUGAUCAAAAUCGAUAGAUACAGACAAUUUAAAAUAAAUAAAUAAAUAUAUAACAUAUUCACACAAUGCAAAAAAACAGGUAAAUAGGAAAUUAAUUUUUUUUAAGUCAUUAUGAUCCAAAGUGGUAUUGCUAAGACAUUUUUCUUGGUGAAGUUCAUCUUGUGUUGAAAUAUGCUUAUAAUAUAAACCAGAUGCACCCCAAAAAUCUGGGGGAAAAGUCUCAUGUUAUUUGAACAAUUUUUGCGGCAAAGGUUAUCAAACCCCAAAAGCCUGAUCUUAUAGCAUAAGUAUUGAUAUUGAUAUUGCCCACAUAUGUUGUUACAAGCUACAAAAUAUAACAUUUCGGUUUUAAAAAUGUUUACAUUGUUGGCAACAUCAGAUCAUCAAAACUGAACAAUAUAGAUUUCCAAAUGCUAUUCAAAUCUCCAAAUUUCUCCAUGUUCACAUGUUAACUUGUUGUUUUCCAAAUUCCCAGUUGAAUUUCAACUUACUCAGCACCUCAGUCCCUCCUUCAAUGUGCAGUAUUGUCGACACAAUCUAGACUUGAAGUCCAAUGACUGCGGAGUGGUUUAGAUGUAAAUGGUGUGAGAACACAACUUCAUUACAUUUUUUCCCAGUUAAUAUGAGCUUACAUUCUGUUUCGAUGCACACUUGAGCCCAGCGGUCAGGGUGGUCGAUUAUGCUAUGGGGGAUGGCUUUGUUUGUUGAAAAGGGGUGGCUCCCCGCUCACCUCCCAUAUGCACUGUACACACUGUACAUAGAUCAUUCUAUUGUGUUAUUGACUGUACGUUUGUUGAUGUGUAACUCUGUGUUGUAGUU